GAUGAACGCUGGCGGCGUGCCUAAUACAUGCAAGUCGAGCGAACAGACGAGGAGCUUGCUCCUCUGACGUUAGCGGCGGACGGGUGAGUAACACGUGGAUAACCUACCUAUAAGACUGGGAUAACUUCGGGAAACCGGAGCUAAUACCGGAUAAUAUAUUGAACCGCAUGGUUCAAUAGUGAAAGACGGUUUUGCUGUCACUUAUAGAUGGAUCCGCGCCGCAUUAGCUAGUUGGUAAGGUAACGGCUUACCAAGGCAACGAUGCGUAGCCGACCUGAGAGGGUGAUCGGCCACACAGGAACUGAGACACGGUCCAGACUCCUACGGGAGGCAGCAGUAGGGAAUCUUCCGCAAUGGGCGAAAGCCUGACGGAGCAACGCCGCGUGAGUGAUGAAGGUCUUCGGAUCGUAAAACUCUGUUAUUAGGGAAGAACAAAUGUGUAAGUAACGAUGCACGUCUUGACGGUACCUAAUCAGAAAGCCACGGCUAACUACGU
rnacentral:rRNA from 1 species